rnacentral:lncRNA from 1 species
CUUGGAUAAGAUAAGUCAACUAGAUUCCUCCACCAAGGAAUUUAACAUUUAUACAUUCUCAACAAGAACCAAGGACAUUCUAUGGGGGGAGGGGGUGCUCGAGGAGGAGAGGAGAGGAAUCCUCUUUUGUUCCCUUCCAUAUCCAGGAGUCUCAAGAACACGCAGUUUUCCAUCCUUUCAUGAACUAUGAGAACAAUGCACGACAGGUCCUUUUCAACACAGUGGCCAACCAUAGUUCCAGAGGACGAAUGAAGAAGAAUGCUUUCUACCUUAUGACAGAGGUGUCUUGAACUAAUAUGAUGAAUGAGACACAUGUUUUUGGACAUGUCCAAUGGAG